rnacentral:rRNA from 1 species
CAGCCGCCACGGGAAUACGGAGGGGGCUAGCGUUGUUCGGAAUUACUGGGCGUAAAGCGCACGUAGGCGGCUUGGUAAGUUAGAGGUGAAAGCCCGGAGCUCAACUCCGGAAUUGCCUUUAAGACUGCCGAGCUAGCAGGUGAGAGAGGUAAGUGGAAUUCCGAGUGUAGAGGUGAAAUUCGUAGAUAUUCGGAAGAACACCAGUGGCGAAGGCGGCUUACUGGCUCAUACUGGACGCUGAGGUGCGAAAGCGUGGGGAGCAAACAGGAUUAGAUACCCCCGUAGUCCCUGUCUCUUAUAC